rnacentral:rRNA from 1 species
AUUGAACGCUGGCGGCAGGCUUAACACAUGCAAGUCGAGCGAGCGGCGGCAGGGUGAGUAAUGUCUGGGAAACUGCCUGAUGGAGGGGGAUAACUACUGGAAACGGUAGCUAAUACCGCAUCCCAUCAGAUGUGCCCAGAUGGGAUUAGCUAGUAGGGUGGGUAAAGGCUCACCUAGGCGACGAGCCCUAGCUGGUCUGAGAGGAUGCCCAGCCACACUGGAACGGAGACACGGUCCAGACGCCUACGGGAGGCAGCAGUGGGGAAUAUUGCACAAUGGGCGCAAGCCUGAUGCAGCCAUGCAGCGUGUAUGAAGAAGGCCUUCGGGUUGUAAAGUACGUUCAGCGGGGAGGCGUUACCCGCAGAAGAAGCACCGGCUAACUCCGUGCCAGCAGCCGCGGUAAUUC